ACAAGUACCGUGAGGGAAAGUUGCAAAGAACUUUGAAGAGAGAGUUCAAGAGAACGUGAAAUCGUUAAAGUGGAACCGGAGAGAGUUGACGAAGCAUCUGUGGUGAAAACUUUCAAAAUUGCUUUUAGUGAUUUUGCUUGUUGGAUCUGCAUUGGCUGCGUUGGUGGGGCUAUUGGUGUCAGUUGAAACGUGUAGUGUUGCCCAUUUGUGGUGUCUUAUUUGCGUGAAGACUGAUUACUGGUAACUCAUAGCUUUGCUUGCAAAGUACCAAUGUUCAAGUCGACCACCUUUCCGACCCGUCUUGAAACACGGACCGAGGAGUGUAGCUAGUGCGCGAGUCAAAGGGUGUUAAACCCCACGGCGAAAUGAAAGUGAAAGCCAGUUUACUGGUUUAACAUAGGAGUUGUUCUUUGAGCAAUGCACUAUGGCCCUGUCUUGAAAGCUUGCUUUUGGGCAGAGGAAGAGCGUACUGGUUGCGACCCGAAAGAUGGUGAACUAUACUUGAGCAGGACGAAGCCAGAGGAAACUCUGGUGGAAGUCCGUAUCGGUUCUGACGUGCAAAUCGAUCGAUAGACUUGAGUAUAGGGGCGAAAGACUAAUCGAACCAUCUAGUAGCUGGUUCCUUCCAAG
rnacentral:rRNA from 1 species